CCGAGUUUACAACUCCCAAACCCCUGUGAACAUACCACUUGUUGCCUCGGCGGAUCAGCCCGCUCCCGGUAAAAACGGGACUGGCCCGCCAGAGGACCCCUAAACUCUGUUUCUAUAUGUAACUUCUGAGUAAAACCAUAAAUAAAUCA
rnacentral:misc_RNA from 1 species